rnacentral:tRNA from 3 species
GUCGCAAUAGCUCAGUUGGAUAGAGCACACGCCUCCUAAGCGUGGGGUCGGGGGUUCAAGUCCCUUUUGCGACGCCA